GAAAUGCGAUAAGUAAUGUGAAUUGCAGAAUUCAGUGAAUCAUCGAAUCUUUGAACGCACCUUGCGCUCCUUGGUAUUCCUUGGAGCAUGCCUGUUUGAUUAUCAUGAAAUCUUCAAAGUAAAUCUUUUGUUAACUCAAUUGGCUUCUACUUUGGUAUUGGAGGUCUUUGCAGCUUCACACCUGCUCCUCUUUGUUCAUUAGCUGGAUCUCAGUGUUAUGCUUGGUUCCACUCGGCGUGAUAAGUUAUCUAUCGCUGAGGACACUGUAAAAGGUGGCCAAGGUAAAUGCAGAUGAACCGCUUCUAAUAGUCCAUUGACUUGGACAAUACUUUUAUGAUCUGAUCUCAAAUCAGGUAGGACUACCCGCUGAACUUAAGC
rnacentral:misc_RNA from 1 species